UACGUAGGGUGCAAGCGUUAAUCGGAAUUACUGGGCGUAAAGCGUGCGCAGGCGGUUGUGCAAGACAGAUGUGAAAUCCCCGGGCUUAACCUGGGAACUGCAUUUGUGACUGCAUGGCUAGAGUGUGUCAGAGGGGGGUAGAAUUCCACGUGUAGCAGUGAAAUGCGUAGAUAUGUGGAGGAAUACCGAUGGCGAAGGCAGCCCCCUGGGAUGACACUGACGCUCAUGCACGAAAGCGUGGGGAGCAAACAGG
rnacentral:rRNA from 1 species